AUGACUACUAGACUGGUGGUCACGGAGAUGGACGACGACAUUUUUGAGCCAAUAGCGCCCAUGGAAGCACGAUCGUGCUACGGCAAUCAAAUAGGCUGCAUUGUACGGACAACCGCCACCAUCAACGAUGAGAAACUACAGAAGAUAGAUAAUAUGAGGCCCUCCCUCCUAAAGAAGCUACACCAGAUAUUCUUGUUCCCGGGCCAGAAUGAAAAGGAUUAUAAAGAUCCAGAUAAGGACCCAACAAUGCAGAAGAUAAACAAACACGCCAUGACCAAGUUUAGCGACGUGUUGGCCGCCUGGAAGCAAGGGUGA
rnacentral:rRNA from 1 species